GACUGAGUUCACUUUUGUUGCCCAGGCUGUAGUGCAAUGGAACGAUCUUUGUUCACCACAGCCUCCGCCUCCCGGGUUCAAGCGAUUCUCCUGCAUCAGCCUCCCGAGUAGCUGGGAUUACAGGCACCCGCUACCACGCCCAGCUAAUUAUUUGUAUUUUAGUAGAGACGAGGGUUUCACCAUGUUGCCCAGGCUAGUCGCGAACUCCUGAGCUCAGGCAAUCCGCCCGCCUCAGCCUCCCAAAGUGCCUGGGAUUACAGGCGUGAGCCACCGCGCCCGGCAUAGUUAACUCUUUCAUACUUUGCAUUUUUUCACACCCUCUUCUUCCUGUUUGCUCAUUUCGGUCACAUGCUCUGUGUCGGCUGUGCAAAAUACUGUUUCCACCAUCUUUGUGCAUUUUGUUUUUGUUGUACAUCCCAGAAGCCCCAAUUCCUUACUACACAUUCUUCCAUCAAGCUACUUUCAGCUCUUUUUUUUUAAAGGAAGGAGUAAAAGGGCAGAGCAAGGCAGGACUGUAACAGAAGUUACCUCGAAAUGGAAGUAAGUAUCAGAAGUGAGAAUAACUGUCACUCCUUUAAUGGCAAAACAAUAUAUAUUUAGGGAUCAAAAGUUCAUACAGUUUUUGGAUAUAUCAAAUGUUAGAUUUUGAAUGUUAGGCAGGAAUUUAAACUAUAUGUAUUUUUAGGUCAUGCUUACACAUGCAUUGUGGAACAUGGUUCUUAUCAGGCCUUACCGUAAGAACACAAAACAGAUCACAAAACUACUGGGAAAAUAACACAAUUUGCCUUGGACUUCUUUUGUUUAUAACACAGUUGUUCUAUGGACACAAUCAUUAUAUUACAAGUAUUUUUCUUUUAGCUGUUCUGGAUUCUUGUAUUCAGUACACUUAAUCCUUGGUAAGUGUUCAUCCUUGCAUUAAUGCAUUUGUUUAAUGUGCUCUCAAAGACGGCAUGUUCAUAAUAGGAUGUAUAAUAUAGAGCAGAUAAUAAGGCUUAUCACCACCGAGCCUCCAGUGACCAUCACAAUUUUUCAGUAUUUAUUAAUUCAUUAUACAUGUUUAGAGGCCUUAUGGUGUGACAGGGACCAUGCCAGAGACUGGAGCAACAAAAAUGUAUAAGGAUGCACUCAAGGAGCUCAUGGACAGAUGGGGAGGGCAGAAAUAGCUCACUGAAGUGCAUUGACAGAGCAUAGUUGUCCUGUAGGAACGCAAGCUGGGCCUUGAAUCGUGCCUAAAUCAAGGGACUCUGACACUUUAAGUUGUCCAACUUUAUACAACUUGUAACGGGCAGAGGAAAUACUUGGACUUAGACUGAUUCCAAAGCCACCAAUACUUCAGGUGCCACUUUGUGAUGAUGCUGCCCCUCAUUAUACCUGCUCCAGAUGGGGCAAUGCUGCAGAGGGCAGAUGGUGUGGCUGUGCAGUUCUCAGAGUAAUUUGCCCAAAAAGCUGGCCUUUGGGCCUAGCGCUAACCCUGACUUCAGCCUCCCUCCUUGAGUCAUCAGCGUCAGCUGAUGGGUUGUGAUCUUAUUAAGCCAAGCUGACAAAGGCAUUCCCCCUUUCUCUAAUGAUCCCAUUUUCCUUACCACUCAAUAAGCUGAGGUUCAUCUUUGGUCAGGCUGAGGCCCAGGUGAAGGAAAUGCUUGGGAGUGGUUUGGGAAAUACUGGUGAACUGGGUGGAGGUACCCACUUUACCCCACCUCCCUGUCACGCUUCGGCUGAUUCAUGAGGGAUUUGUUGUUGUUAUUUCAAGUUGCCUGUAAAUCAGCUGUACCAAAAAUGGUGAGGAUAACCCUAGAUUCUAUGAAGGCAAUUCGUAAGUCCAGGGGUAGCAACUUCCAAACACUGUCUACAUCAAAAAUUUGGCAUCACAAAUCUGAGUUUUAUCUGCAAGCAUGCAGAAGGGAAAGUAUAAAGAAGCUGGAGCAAGCUUUGACUUCUUUGACCCUUGUAAUUGCACGAGAGUAUAAGAUUUAAAAUUGUGAAUAAAUGAAUGCUUGCACCAACUGAAAGACAAAAGUUUUAAAUUAUCAGUAACUGCCUAAAGUGAUCUCUUCCUUCCUUAUGGGCAAGAACCCACCUUUUUUGAAUAGACCUCUAACCUUGAAAUUCUGUUAUUCACAGAUAUAUGAUGGGGGCUGAUAGGCGGUUGAAAAUAAUCAGUAUUUGGAGAAUUAUGAGAAGAGCAGCCGAGACUGGAGCAGCCACCACAGGAUAUUCUCAUUUGGGCUGAGUUUGGAAACAACAGCCAAUGUUUACUAAAUGAUUCCAGUGCUGAGGGCUUUAUAUGUAUUUUUCUUCAUAAUGUCCUGAGGAGUUAAGUUCUUUUUUUUUUUUUUUUUUGAGACGGAGUCUCGCUCUGUCACCCAGGCCAGAGUGCAAUGGCGCGAUCUCGGCUCGCUGCAACCUCUGCCUCCUGGGUUCAAGCGAUUCUCCUGCCUCAGCCUCCUGAGUAGCUAGGAUUACAGGUGCCCGCUACCAUGCCCGGCCAAUUUUUUUGUAUUUUUAGUAGAGAUGGGGUUUCACUAUGUUGGCCAGGCUGUUCUCGAACUCCUGACCUCGUGAUCUGCCUGCCUCAGCCUCCCAAAGUGCUGGGAUUACAGGCGUGAGACACCGCGCCUGGCUGAGUUAAGUUCUCUUCUUGUAAAAGGGGAGCUGAGGCUUAAGAGAGGUCACAGAGCUCACACAUGGGGAAGGGAACACUGGAGUCAGGUGGUUGGCCCCUGGAACCCACAUUCUUACCACGUUCUCCUGCAUUCAGUCAUGGAACUUCUCACUCAGCUCAAUUUUGGCAUGAGUCACCUCAAAUGGGGUGCAGGGGCUUUUUUUUUUUUUGAGAUGGAGUCUCGCUGUCGCCCAGGCUGGAGGGCAGUGGCGCGAUCUCGACUCACUGCAAGCUCC
rnacentral:lncRNA from 1 species